rnacentral:rRNA from 1 species
UAGGGAAUCUUCCGCAAUGGACGCAAGUCUGACGGAGCAACGCCGCGUGAGUGAAGAAGGAUUUCGGUUCGUAAAACUCUGUUGUUAGAGAAGAACAGCGCAUAGAGUAACUGUUAUGCGUGUGACGGUAUCUAACCAGAAAGCCACGGCUAACUACGUGCCAGCAGCCGCGGUAAUACGUAGGUGGCAAGCGUUGUCCGGAAUUAUUGGGCGUAAAGCGCGCGCAGGCGGCUACUUAAGUCCAUCUUAAAAGUGCGGGGCUUAACCCAGUGAUGGGAUGGAAACUGAGAAGCUGGAGUGUCGGAGAGGAAAGUGGAAUUCCGAGUGUAGCGGUGAAAUGCGUAGAGAUUAGGAAGAACACCGGUGGCGAAGGCGACUUUCUGGACGACAACUGACGCUUAGGCGCGAAAGCGUGGGGAGCAAACAGG